UUUUUGCACUUUGUCAGAAAUGCGGAUCCCGGUGACUAAAACGAGUAUAGCUAACUGAAUACGUCAUGGAUACCUUAGGGGCAGUAACUGGUGGUGGCCGAUGAAACCUGUGAGAGUUUACAGUUGUUGCAUCGCACCGCGGUGGAGCGUGGGGAUGUCGAAAAGCAGCCAAAUGUUGGGCAGAUCGGCUUCUGCCGGAGUGCCUCGCAGGCGCAUGCGUCAGCGACUUACGGCGUUGGCCGAAAGUGUGGUUUUGCUACUGGUGCUAGCUUCACUGAACUGAACCAGCUGGCUGAAGAAAAUGAAAACAGCGACCGGCGACGCGACCGCUCAUUUUUAGAGUGUGACUCAACUUUCCCGUCAUUUUUCACGAGCCUCCGCACGAGAGCGAUUUAAUUGUGUGACGACUGUGCACAUGAGUGUUGGACCAGAAGUUAUGUUCCUGCCAGCAAAGAGUAUCGGACAUAAGAGAAGGCUGCUGCAAUGCACUCGUCCUUGAUCUUACUAACUGUCGGCUGACUGCAGUGGAUGGGCGCCCCAGUGGUUUUUGCAAUUGAUUUGCCAAAAAUUGAAUUUCUCGGAUGAAAGAAAGUCGGAAAGAGCACUCGUCCCAAAAUUUCGAGCCGCUCCGUGCCAGGCGGCGCUCCACUCAUCCUCGGCAAGUCGACUGUGUCUCACAUUGGGUAAUUAACUAACUCACUCCCUGCCUCACCCCUUCCAACUCUGCUCCCCAACCGCCGUGCCAAGCAUUAUUAAACUAAUCAAAAUUUCUUUGACCAAAAAUCCCUUGAUGCUCCCAUCGUAUUUUACCACUGCUUUCAAUUUUGGCACGUAAAGUCGGUGUUUCUUUUUUUUAACUGUGAAUUUCUUUUUCCAGGCUGACUGCAGUGGAUGGGCGCCCCAGUGGUUUUUGCAAUUGAUUUGCCAAAAAUUGAAUUUCUCGGAUGAAAGAAAGUCGGAAAGAGCACUCGUCCCAAAAUUUCGAGCCGCUCCGUGCCAGGCGGCGCUCCACUCAUCCUCGGCAAGUCGACUGUGUCUCACAUUGGGUAAUUAACUAACUCACUCCCUGCCUCACCCCUUCCAACUCUGCUCCCCAACCGCCGUGCCAAGCAUUAUUAAACUAAUCAAAAUUUCUUUGACCAAAAAUCCCUUGAUGCUCCCAUCGUAUUUUACCACUGCUUUCAAUUUUGGCACGUAAAGUCGGUGUUUCUUUUUUUUAACUGUGAAUUUCUUUUUCCAGGCUGACUGCAGUGGAUGGGCGCCCCAGUGGUUUUUGCAAUUGAUUUGCCAAAAAUUGAAUUUCUCGGAUGAAAGAAAGUCGGAAAGAGCACUCGUCCCAAAAUUUCGAGCCGCUCUGUGCCAGGCGGCGCUCCACUCAUCCUCGGCAAGUCGACUGUGUCUCACAUUGGGUAAUUAAC